rnacentral:tRNA from 1 species
GCGUGAGUAGCUCAGUGGCAGAGCAUCAGCUUCCCAAGCUGAAGGUCGCGGGUUCGAUCCCCGUCUCCCGCUCCG